rnacentral:rRNA from 1 species
GACGAACGCUGGCAGCGUGCUUAACACAUGCAAGUCGAGCGUGAUUCAAGUAGUAGCAAUACUAUGAGAUGAAAGCGGCAAACGGGUGAGUAACACGUAAGCAACCUGCCCUUAAGUAAAGGAUAGCUCGCCGAAAGGCGAAUUAAUACUCUAUGUGGUUUUUUCUCGCAUGAGAAAAAUACUAAAGCUUGUAAUGGCGCUUAAGGAGGGGCUUGCGGCCUAUCAGCUUGUUGGUGAGGUAACGGCUCACCAAGGCUAAGACGGGUAGCUGGUCUGAGAGGACGGUCAGCCACACUGGAACUGAGACACGGUCCAGACACCUACGGGUGGCAGCAGUUUCAAAUCAUUCACAAUGGGCGAAAGCCUGAUGGUGCGACGUCGCGUGGGGGAUGAAGGUCUUCGGAUUGUAAACCCCUGUCAUUAGGGAGCAAAAAACAGGCUCAUACCCUGUCUUGAGUUAACCUAAAGAGGAAGUGGUGGCAAACUCUGUGCCAGCCGCCGCAGUAA